rnacentral:misc_RNA from 1 species
GAAAUGCGAUACGUAAUGUGAAUUGCAGAAUUCAGUGAAUCAUCGAAUCUUUGAACGCAAAUUGCGCUUCGGGGAAUCCCCUGGAGCAUGCCUCUUUGAGUAUUGGUUCUACCUUUCCCAGCUUGUCUGGUGAAGAAAAUGAGCAGUCUCGCUGGUAACAGCGCGUCGCUUCAAGUAGACGGCACGGCUUUUUGUGCUGCUGUGCGCAAUGGAAAGAUAGGUCACUUGCUGACUUUCUGCCCGUAACACGGCUAUUUUUCUGUUGCUGCGGUAUGCCGCGGUACUUCGGUACUGCGAGAGAUCGUCUUGCCGAGAUGUCGAUUGGGCGUCAUCGAGACGCUUGGCGGCAACUCAACACCUUUACACAAUCUAAUCUCAAAUGAGGUAAGAGGACCCCCUG